AUUGAACGCUGGCGGCGUGCCUAACACAUGCAAGUCGAGCGGUAACAGGUGUAGCAAUACAUGCUGACGAGCGGCGAACGGGUGAGUAAUGCUUUGGAAUCUUCCCAGUAGUGGGGAAUAACCAGUCGAAAGAUUGGCUAAUACCGCAUACGUCUGUAAAGGGAAAGCGGGGGCUCGUAAGACCUCGCGCUAUUGGAUGAGCCAAAGUCGGAUUAGCUAGUUGGUGGGGUAAUGGCCUACCAAGGCGACAAUCCGUAGCUGGUCUGAGAGGACGACCAGCCACACCGGAACUGAGACACGGUCCGGACUCCUACGGGAGGCAGCAGUGGGGAAUAUUGGACAAUGGGGGAAACCCUGAUCCAGCGACGCCGCGUGUGUGAAGAAGGCCUGCGGGUUGUAAAGCACUUUUAGUGGGGACAAAAAGCUACGGAUUAAUACUCUGUGGUCUUGAUUUAACCCAAAGAAAAAGCACCGGCUAACUCUGUG
rnacentral:rRNA from 1 species